GGCAAGAUGGCCGAGUUGGUUAUGGCGCCAGGUUAAGGCUUACUCACCUUAACGCAUUAUUUCCUGGUCUCGAAAGGGGCGUGGGUUCAAGUCCCACUCUUGUCA